CGGCUCAACAUCAAACCAGUAACAAUGCUAAUCUCACUACUCAACACAGCUAUAUAGGUUCUUCACGCAAGUAACACUAAGAUCUGAAAGAGAGAGCCUGUUUAAUUUAAAAAGUAUUUGUGGAGGAGACCUUUUAUAAAGGACUGCAACGCUCUAUGACCCAUUUCAUUUGCACUUUUUAACAAAAAAACACCAUGAAGGCCAUUCUGAGAGCUCUGUUUGUUAUUUUUGCUUUGCUCCUUCUGCAUCAUCUCCUUUUGUGCUUUUCACCUGUAUCUUUUUCUCUUGAAAAGAGUUUUCUACGAGAGAAAAUCAAAACAAGGAAGCUGAUGUUUCCUCUGGCCUCUACCUCUGCUGAUUUGAAAGGGUUGGAUCAAUCAACCAUGCAAAAUCAGAAAACAUUUUCUGCGAGUUUGAAAAAGGUGCCUGCAAGCAAACCGAGCCCAACACAGAAUUAGAUCCUGGAAGAAGAAACUGAAGCCAGAUUCUUCCAUUGAAUUUUGUAGUGAGUUUGCUACUUUUGUUCUUCUAUCUUUUAUUUUGCAAUCUGAGCUGAUUACACAGGAGAAAUGAAUGUUUUUUUUAUCA